rnacentral:lncRNA from 1 species
CCCCCCAAAAUCCUGGUACUGUAGAUGAAUCCGCAGUUAGGAUCGAAUCUCGUUCGGUCUUUGUACUAGACACCAUUCCCAGCUCAUUGACCUCGGAUGAACUCUCACUGAUUAGGAUUCAGUACGGGGUUCCUCCGGAGUAUGAGCUUGAGCUUCCCGGGCCAACUGACCGGGCUAGCACUCCUCCCCCUGGCCACUUUUACUUAUACCAGGAAGCCUUCCGCGUC